UUUGUUCUUAUCAAGCUAGCUUUACUGACUUCUUAAUAUUAGGGUCAUCAUGUCUGUCUUGCAUGGUUGAAUAAACUUUUUCUUUGUCCAGAUGUCAGUAUGCCAGGAGAACAGGGGUCAGAAGAUGAGUUCAGCAUGUCAUCCCUGCACAAGUGUACCUCUGCAUCACAAGUCCAAAACCAGGGAGUAUCUUCGACAGAUGUCAGUGUGCCAGGAGAACAGGGUUCAGAAGAUGAGGUCAGCAUAUCAUCCUUGCAGGAAGGUACCUCCACAUCACAAUUCGAAAACCAGUGUGUGUCUACAAAAAAGAGAGGUAAGCAAGCCGCUGUAAAACGUUGGACACCAGAGGAAAUUGCUGCAGUAGAAAAACAUCUGAAGAUGUUCAUUGUGAGGCAAGAUGUUCCAGGUAAAGCAGACUGUGAGCGCUGCAUUUCUGCAGAACCGCAAGCGCUACAAAAAAGAGACUGGAAAGCAGUCAAAUAUUUCAUCAAAAAUAGAAUAACUGCCAAAAGAAGAAAAUUAGAAUGAAAGCAGUUCACUGAUAAGAUGUAUGGACACACAUUUUCAGUUUGACUUGGCUUGUGUUUUCAGCCUGUUUACAGCCUGUUUAUGUUGGAUACAUAAUGUAGCUUUGAGUAUUCUGUAUUCUUCUACUCUACUUCUGUAUUUUGUUUUCCUGUAAUCAUUUGUUGCAGCCCUAGUUCAGUCUCAAUUUUGCCUAGAGCAUGGUUACUAUUUCAUCAAAGUGUGAAAUGUAGUUGUUAUUUCCAUAAAUAAAUACAUGCUCCUUCAGGACAACUUGUUGAAAGCAUUUUAUUUUAU
rnacentral:lncRNA from 1 species